rnacentral:rRNA from 1 species
UACGGAGGAGGCAAGGCGUUAUCCGGAAUUAUUGGGCGUAAAGCGUCCGCAGGUGGCUAUUCAAGUCUGCGGUCAAAGACUGGGGCUUGAACCCUGGAAAGGCCGUGGAAACUGAAGAGCUAGAGUGCAGUAGGGGUAGAGGGAAUUCCCGGUGUAGCGGUGAAAAUGCGUAGAGCUCGGGAAGAACAUCGGUGGCCGAAAGC